rnacentral:rRNA from 1 species
AGCGAACGCUGGCGGCAGGCCUAACACAUGCAAGUCGAACGGACCCUUCGGGGUUAGUGGCGGACGGGUGAGUAACACGUGGGAACGUGCCUUUAGGUUCGGAAUAGCUCCUGGAAACGGGUGGUAAUGCCGAAUGUGCCCUUCGGGGGAAAGAUUUAUCGCCUUUAGAGCGGCCCGCGUCUGAUUAGCUAGUUGGUGAGGUAAUGGCUCACCAAGGCGACGAUCAGUAGCUGGUCUGAGAGGAUGACCAGCCACAUCGGGACUGAGACACGGCCCAAACUCCUACGGGAGGCAGCAGCGGGGAAUCUUGCGCAAUGGGCGAAAGCCUGACGCAGCCAUGCCGCGUGGAUGAUGAAGGUCUUAGGAUUGUAAAAUCCUUUCACCGGUGAAGAUAAUGACUGUAGCCGGAGAAGAAGCCCCGGCUAACUUCGUGCCAGCAGCCGCCGUAACAC